rnacentral:lncRNA from 1 species
ACAUGGCUGAGGAGGUGUCCAGCAAGGCUGUACCAUACAGAUCACCCCCAGCCCCCCUCCCAAAUAAAUAAAUAAAAACAAGUAAGAAUUAUUUUUCAUUACAGCUGCCAUAAUACACUGGUCCAUGUGAUGAAACCUGCAAUGGCAAGAUUCAACUGCUGUGGUUCAUUCUCUGCUGUUUUCCUUCCCUGCAAAUUUUCCUUGUGAAAGGCACAGAAACAAGAUGCGUAUUCUGCAAUAACGGACAAAGAGGAGCUAGAGAAGGAAAGGGACAGAACAGAAAGUUUGACUUCAGCACCCAAAUCCUCAUAAGAAAAGUUACGCUCUAACUAAAAGGAUAAGGAAAUACAGUUAGUGUCUGGAUAACUUACUUCACUUUUAAUGUUUCUGCAAAUUCCAACAUGAACAGGCCCAAUGUAAAUCAGCUUUCCUCACUGAGCUGACGGCUAAACUACAGCAGAUGCCAGAGGAUUUUUAAACUGCACAGGUCACAUUUAGAGGCUGAUGCAGUACAAUGCUGAUAUUGUCUACUAGCUUGAUUUCAGCAUUCCCUUUGAAGGUAGAAAAGCACUUUGCAAAAGACUGAGAGAAAACAGUUCUUCACUUGUGCCCUCAGAAUAUGUUUUUAAACUACCUUUUCAUUUCUAAUGUAAAGACAAAGAAAACUAGUCACUAGAGAAUCACUAUUAAAUAUAAUAUAACAUGCA